rnacentral:lncRNA from 1 species
CGCCCCACGAGAGUGGAUCUGUCCUGAGCAGCAGGAAACGAAACCCGAUGGAGCUCGUGAUGCCGGUUUCCUGCUUCUCCCGAAAACCCAGCCAGACUGGCAUCUUCCCCGCUGGCUCAGCCAGCUCUCGGGCACGAAAGCAGCAGUUCCUGUCCCUUCUCCUGGGACCAAGGGCUUCUUCUCCCGUGCUGCCCCUGCCUGCUUAGCUCGAAUCCCACCCUCAGUACCAGUGGGUCCAUCCAGCAUCCCCUGGGGACCAUGAGGGCCGCAUCCAGCCCCGAGGCUGGGGGCUUCGGAGUUUCCCCUUCAUGCUCCAGCAAGGCAUCCAUCACUCCCGUCCUCCAGGCAGACCCGGUUCCCUCCACAGCCAGCAUCCGCACAGCUGUGUGGCAGAUCUGGAAAAGGACGAAGUGAUUUUUCCAGUGACUCAUUCUCAGUCUUUCCUUUUUUUUUUUUUUUUUUCGUUUUAAAGGCACAUCCUCAGCCUUGCACCCAGCAGAAGCCAAAUGCCUGCUCAUCGCCCCACCCAAGCACAGGGCCCGAGAACAACCCCCGCCCUCCUCCCAAAAGCUGACAGCCGAGGGCACGUUGCAGACUGAAAAAGGAAGCUGCCGAACUCCAACGCUGUUUUUACCCACUUUCACUUUGUCCAUCAGCCUGGCCAAAGCUGGACCCCCUCUGCUGCACAACCUCCCUCGCUGCUGGGAAAGCCCCGCACCCGGAGCCCGCGCAAAAACCAGGCGAGUUGCUGAGAAAGCUCCAGAACCUGAUUUCAACAGCUUUCCAAGCUUGGGAGAUCGAGCGUCCAGUGGUAACUCCACUGGUAAAGCACUUCUGUGGGAGGUGACUAAAGCCAGAGAAAAGACAACAAACCUGCAAACAACAGGGGAAGAAACAACCGUCCUCUUGCUAAUCGUUGCUGCAGAAAUAUUUUUGGAGAAUUUAGUGGGAAACUGAAGAGUCUGAGCAACAAGUUUUCCCUUGUUGCUUAGGCUGAAUCCCUCUUCAACCCAUUUUGAAGCAUCCCUAAUAUUAGCAGCCAGCUCCAAGGGCUUGGGGCACCAGCUGGAAGGAACAGCAGUGAAGGUGGUGUGUUCCCAGAACGGCCCCUUGCAUGUCAGCAGGCCCAAGGCCACUUCACCCCACAUCGUCGUGCCCCUUGGUGCUGGGACAGUGGGCCAGCACGACCCCCUGCUGCUCCAGCCACCUCUUA